UGGUGAUAGUGGGUAGUGUUGUGACAACGAUCCCGAUGAUAAUUCUUAUUCUCAGGGAUUCGGUAAUCUAUUAUAGUUUUCGUGGAUAAUAGCACUAUUAGAGUAGCUGACAUCUGCUAUUGCAUUUUUACUAUGAAACCUUUUGACGAAAUAUAAUAUCUUCAGCUGAAGGCUUCAUGUGAUCUGCGUGCUUGUGACAGCGAUAAAAUGGUCCAAUUCAAGCUGUCUUCCAAAACCAUGGAAAUUCUGUUUGCAAGAACGCCAAUAUGUUCCAUCGGGAUAUUCGGCCACAUCUUCAACAAUCACAGGCUAUUCAAAAUAUCUAUGCAUCACCUAUUUAUGUGCCAGUUCCCGUUUCACUGCCUUCACAAAUCAAUCAACCGCAGCCAGUGGAACGUUAGGAUUCAAAAGAAAGAGUUUCUCAGUUGGAAGAUCUAUAGUGGAUGCUGGAACUACAGAAGAAGAUUCAGGAAUUGGAGUUUAGUUGGCAGGAAGCCAAAGCCAAACAGGCUGUUCCUCCCAGUGGAAUUAAGAGCCAGCAGAGCGUCAACGACAAAGCGAUAUCUGCAGCUAUUUUUCACUGGAGCAAGAAACCAAAUUUUGUGUGUUCCUGAAAAGAAUCCUUCUACCUCAUCUUGUGUCUCUUCUAAAAUUCUGAAUGAAAUCGAUCUUCUGCAAGUCCGAUUGAGCAAUGUGAUCGCCUCAACCGGAGCUGUUGUUGUCAACCGUCGUCGCAUUGGAAAGAUAACCGACAACUAUCAUGAGCCGAUUGGGCGUGGAAAAUUCGGUCAAGUCUUCAAAGGAACUUGGCAUGGAUGUCAAGUAGCCGUCAAAGAAAUCCGCUCUCCUCGGCGUUGCAGCACAGUCGUCGAGGCUCGAUCGUUCGCCAAGAUGAUUCAACGAGAGGUUGAAGCCCUUUCAGCUGUCCAGCACCGCAAUAUUAUUGGACUGCUCGGUCUUUGCAUGGAUAACGAAUCGAGUGAUGGUGAAGCAUCGAUUAGAGUCUCGCUCAUCUUUGAAUUCACCAACGGAGGGACUCUUUUCGACUGACUUUUCGGCGGCCUAGCAAAAAAUAGCAAAUUCAAAUUAGACGUGAAUCAAAUGAUGCUGACCGCUCGCCAUCUCACCGCGAGACUCUCCAUCUACUGCAUUCCACUCAGCAGAAGCCGGGCGGUUCAGUUAUGGUCCACCGUGACGUGAAAUCCGCCAAUGUUUUACUGCAACGGGAUGACGAAGGAAGAGUCGUGCGAGCUGUUUUGGACGAUUUAACGUCUUCAUUUGGAUCUUAACGAAAGUGGCUCCCGCUCUGGCCUAGCAGCCAGUUUCAUGACAGCCGUGGUAGGUACCCACGGCUAUGUCGAUCCUUUGUGUGCGGAGCGUUUAACCUGCAGACGGGUCGGCCAGUUUGCAUGUCCUUCAGGCUUGAAGGUCGCGGGGAAUAUUACGUUAAACUGUUAAUGCGGUGGUGUAGAGGUUGGGUGAGAAUUGGACGUGUUGCAUCAUUAUCAAGCAGACCCAUCCCCAGCAACGUCAACCUAAAGAAGGAAAGGCAAGUUUCCAUUUUCUUCAAUUUCGAAGGUCACGGAGAUACCAUUACGUUAAACUUGUCAUGUGGAGUAGAGGUUGGGUGAGAACGGGAAGUGUUGCACCAUUAUCAAGCAGGAGAAAAAAGGCCAAAGAAAUCAGUCGAGUGAUCAUCUCCGACACUGCAAUAGCAACUGCAGUGCACUAUUGAUCAUCAAUUGAUUCUUCACUGUGUAAUAAGUUCGUAAUCAUGGUUAAUUAUGGCGUUGUGCUGCUGUUGGGUCGACCACGAGUGUACCGAUGUCUCCUGGAUACGGUGGCCCGAGUUACUUCACCAAAGCGCCUGAGUACUACACUGAGGCUCCCAAGUACUACACCAUCAAAGCUCCAGAGUAUUACACUGCAAUCUACGCUGCCCAAGCUUACACCACCAAGGGACCGGAGUACUGCACCACAACCUACGCUGCCCCAGUUCACUACGCCGCCCUGAGCUACACAACCACAUAUGAGGCAGUCGUUAUUACUGCACAGCGGCUGCUUCUUAGUAACAACCUACGUUACACCUAGAUGCUACACCGAAGCCCCCAAGUACUGCACCGGCAAGGCCGAAUAUUACAUAACCACGUUUGCUGCCCCAGCUACCCUGCUACACCGAGAAACCCAAGUAUUUCUCUGCUCCAAGCAACUAUCGAACAGAGGCUCCUGUUGACUACACCACCCAUGCCCCGGGGUUUUACAGUACAACCUACGCUGCCCCAUCUACACCAUCAAGGCUCCAAAGUACUACGCAACCGAGGCACCCGAGCUACUACUUAGGCUGCUCCGACUUUCUGCACCGAAGCUGCGAAAUAUUCCACUGCCCCGAGUUACUACACCAUCAAGGCUGUUAUAAUGUUACAUCACAACCUACGCUUCUCCAGUUUACUACAUAAUGGUGAAGCCAGAAAUGGAAACAGUCUAGUGCUGUUGUUUGGUGUAUCGUUGACGGUCGAGUCGU
rnacentral:misc_RNA from 1 species